rnacentral:rRNA from 1 species
AUUGAACGCUGGCGGCAUGCUUUACACAUGCAAGUCGAACGAGUGGCGACCGGGUGAGUACUGUAUGGGGACCUGCCCGACAGCGGGGGAUAACUACUGGAAACGGCGGCUACUACCGCAUAUUAUCGUAUGAACCCAUAUGGGAUUAGCGAGUGGGUGGGGUAAAGGCUCACCUAGGCGACGAGCUCUAGCUGGUCUGAGAGGAUGAUCAGCCACACUGGGACUGAGACACGGCCAAGACUCCUACGGGAGGCAGCAGUGGGGAAUGUUGGACAAUGGGCGCAAGCCUGAUGCAGCAAUGCCGCGUGGAUGAAGAAGGCCUUAGGGUUGUAAAGUACUUUCAGCGGGGAGGCGUUACCCGCAGAGAAAGCAACGGCUAACUCCGUGCCAGCAGCCGCGGUAAUUC